CUGAGGGGAGGGAGAAUUCUCGUUUCCUCUUGUCUCCUCUCCUGCAGACCUUCCUCGGACUGGCUCUGCCUCGGAAUAUUCCCCUGCCAGGGAGAGAAGAAACGGAGCUCACCAUGGGCUCAGAGAGUGGAGCUGCUCUGUGGAGCCUUCUCCUCACCUUUGCUUUUCUCUUCUCCUGCUGCGAACCCCAAGUGGUUCAGAGCCCUGAGUCGCUGGUUACUGGGGAAGGGAAGGUCUCUACCAUGUCCUGCUCCUUCACCAGCACUUACCGAACCUUCUACUGGUACCAGCAGCUCCCUGGGCAAAGGCCGACCCACCUGCUGACUGCGAGCUCUAAUGAGAAUGUCACUGUGGGGCGGUUCACAGGCGAGCACCUGGAAAGUGGGAAAAGCAGCACCCUACACAUCACCGACUCCCAGCUGGGAGACUCAGGCAGCUACCUCUGUGCGGUGGAUGCACAGUGACACAGGCGGAGCUGGGCUCAGGGCAAAAACCCUCAUCCUCUGACAGGCAGUUUAAGGGAGGAGAUGCAGGGGCAGUUCCCCAGAUGGCUUAAAGCAGCAUAAUUCCAUGGCAGCCAAGGGGACUGAUCCUCAGCCGUUAUAAAUGAAAAUAGCUCUAGUGGAGUCAACGGGGCCACAACGUAAGGACCAGGGGACUGGAACCCAGGUCUUCAGAUCAUGGGACAGCUGUGUGAAGAUCACAUAAAUCCGGAGUCACUCCACAUGUGUUCAUUGUGGUGACUAGAUUACAAGAAAUCCGAGACACAAAUUCAUUUUCUUUUCUUUCUAUAGGAUAUCUUCUCAAGGAAAGUUCAUUACCAAACAUAACCAGUGGGAAACCAUCUUCCCUUAAGGGAGCCGAAUGCAAAAUAUCUCUUGGCUUCAAAGCUAUAAGGUCAUCCACGUUUCAUUACCAACAAGAAACAAACAAAGCUAACUCCCCUCCCUCCUCGAAAGCCAGAACAAAGUUUUCUGCUCCCUCGUGUCCCAGUGCAGUUCAGACAAGAGCCCGGGAGGGGGCGCUUCAGAACUGAGAGCUCUGUCUGGUUGGUCUAUAAAUCUAGUUUUUUCUCUCCACCUCCUCCGUUACCCCUCAUCCCAACCCCCUCCAGUCCCGGACCCUGCCAGACUUUUUAUCAGCGCAACGGAAAGGCAGCU